rnacentral:rRNA from 1 species
UACGUAGGUGGCAAGCGUUGUCCGGAAUUACUGGGCGUAAAGCGUGCGUAGGCGGUUCGCUGUGUCCGAUGUGAAAGCCCCGGGCUUAACCUGGGAAUGGCAUUGGAAACUGGCGGGCUUGAGUGUGGCAGAGGGGGGUGGAAUUCCGCGUGUAGCAGUGAAAUGCGUAGAGAUGCGGAGGAACACCGAUGGCGAAGGCAGCCCCCUGGGUUAACACUGACGCUCAGGCACGAAAGCAUGGGGAGCAAACAGG